rnacentral:rRNA from 1 species
UAGAGUUUGAUCCUGGCUCAGGAUGAACGCUAGCGACAGGCUUAACACAUGCAAGUCGAGGGGCAGCGGGGCAGGAAGCUUGCUUUCUGCCGCCGGCGACCGGCGCACGGGUGAGUAACACGUAUGCAACCUGGCCGUGACAGAUGGAUAACCGGGAGAAAUCCCGCCUAAUACAGCAUGACGCCGGGAAGGGACAUCCCUUUCCGGCCAAAGGGGGCGACUCCGGUCACGGAUGGGCAUGCGGCGCAUUAGGUAGUUGGUGGGGCAACGGCCCACCAAGACGACGAUGCGUAGGGGUUCUGAGAGGAAGGUCCCCCACACUGGUACUGAGACACGGACCAGACUCCUACGGGAGGCAGCAGUGAGGAAUAUUGGUCAAUGGGCGGGAGCCUGAACCAGCCAAGUCGCGUGAGGGAUGACGGCCCUAUGGGUUGUAAACCUCUUUUGCCGGGGAGCAAAGUGCCGCACGUGUGCGGUUUGGAGAGUACCCGGAGAAAAAGCAUCGGCUAACUCCGUGCCAGCAGCCGCGGUAAUACGGAGGAUGCGAGCGUUAUCCGGAUUUAUUGGGUUUAAAGGGUGCGCAGGCGGAAGAUCAAGUCAGCGGUAAAAUUGAGAGGCUCAACCUCUUCGAGCCGUUGAAACUGGUUUUCUUGAGUGAGCGAGAAGUAUGCGGAAUGCGUGGUGUAGCGGUGAAAUGCAUAGAUAUCACGCAGAACUCCGAUUGCGAAGGCAGCAUACCGGCGCUCAACUGACGCUCAUGCACGAAAGUGUGGGUAUCGAACAGGAUUAGAUACCCUGGUAGUCCACACAGUAAACGAUGAAUACUAAUUGUUCGGGGAGAAUGAUCCCUGAGUGAUACAGCGAAAGCGUUAAGUAUUCCACCUGGGGAGUACGCCGGCAACGGUGAAACUCAAAGGAAUUGACGGGGGCCCGCAC